rnacentral:misc_RNA from 1 species
AAGGUUCACACAACACAUGUCAAUUAGGCAUACUAAUCCAUUUCAAAUUUAUGUCUACACAUCAACACCAUUUCUAAGCCAUUUUAAAUCCAUCAAAACCAUCAACAUUAUCCCUUCCUUAGGGCUGCCAAAAUUCAGGGCAUGCAUACACAUAAAUUUCAUUCAUUUGGCUUUCAAAUUCUUACUCCCUUUUAAGUAUUUAACAUGAAAAUAAAGAGUUCUAAGUAUAUAUGUGCACUAACCUUUAAGUGG